rnacentral:lncRNA from 1 species
ACAGUUUGACAGAAUGAUGGUGUUAUGGAUGAAUGAGAUGAGAAUUACGAAUGGAGGUGCUCCCAGUGAUUCCAGAGCUGUUCUUCCAAGAGAGUGUCAACUAGCACUGAGCCUGGAUGUAAGGAUGUUCCUUCUGGAUCAAGAAGCGAUUUGAUUGUGGAGCCUGGAUGUAAGGAUGUUCCUUCUGGAUCAAGAAGCGAUUUGAUUGUGGAGCCUGGAUGUAAGGAUGUUCCUUCUGGAUCAAGAAGCGAUUUGAUUGUGCUUACUGUUGUACAAAGUUGGCAACCGAGUAUUGGGGAAGCAGUUGUGCACACAACGUGUCCUUCAGCGUAGACUCCUCUAACCAGAUGGAGAGCAGACAAUGAUCAAGCUCAUUUUACAGGCUGCCCUUUCAAAUGCGUCCAAGAUGAAGAAAAGGCCAUUUCGAGCAUUGACCAAUGCUGUGUAUGACCCGAUGUCUAGGAAAGGACCCCUAGGAUGCUCAGCGAAGGCUUUCUACAAAAAAUUAAUCAUGUAACACUAAGGAAUCUGUCACUUGUCAACAAAAUAAAAUGGCAUUGUAUUUUCAUCUGUUCGCCUGUUCAAUGCAGGGACCUAUUUGCCUUCUAUGCAAGGGGGGG